rnacentral:rRNA from 1 species
UACGGAGGGUGCGAGCGUUGUCCGGAAUCACUGGGCGUAAAGGGCGCGUAGGCGGCGCGGUAAGCGUGCGGUGAAAGUCCGGGGCUCAACCCCGGAUCGGCCGUGCGGACUGCCGGGCUCGAGCACUGUAGGGGCGGGUGGAACUCCGGGUGUAGCGGUGGAAUGCGUAGAGAUCCGGAAGAACACCGGUGGCGAAGGCGGCCCGCUGGGCAGUGGCUGACACUGAGGCGCGACAGCGUGGGGAGCAAACAGG